ACCCUCUCAGGAUAGCACCUGGAGAGUUUCCAGUACUCUACCAGUUUUGGCUACAGGAUGGGGAGUCAAGCAGUUGCAUUCCUAUUCCAUUCCUGGCUUGGGUAAUGGCUAGUGAGUGGAAGGCAAUCUGCUACAAGU